rnacentral:rRNA from 1 species
UACGGAGGGUGCAAGCGUUAAUCGGAAUUACUGGGCGUAAAGCGCACGUAGGCGGACCAGCAAGUUAGGGGUGAAAUCCCGGGGCUCAACCCCGGAACUGCCUUUAAAACUGUUGGUCUGGAGGUCGAGAGAGGUGAGUGGAAUUCCGAGUGUAGAGGUGAAAUUCGUAGAUAUUCGGAGGAACACCAGUGGCGAAGGCGGCUCACUGGCUCGAUACUGACGCUGAGGUGCGAAAGCGUGGGGAGCGAACAGG